GGGGAAUAUUGGACAAUGGGCGCAAGCCUGAUCCAGCCAUGCCGCGUGGAUGAUGAAGGCCCUAGGGUUGUAAAGUCCUUUCGGCGGGGAAGAUAAUGACGGUACCCGCAGAAGAAGCCCCGGCUAACUUCGUGCCAGCAGCCGCGGUAAUACGAAGGGGGCUAGCGUUGCUCGGAAUCACUGGGCGUAAAGCGCACGUAGGCGGACUCUUAAGUCGGUGGUGAAAUCCUGGAGCUCAACUCCAGAACUGCCUUCGAUACUGAGAGUCUCGAGUCCGGGAGAGGUGAGUGGAACUGCGAGUGUAGAGGUGAAAUUCGUAGAUAUUCGGGAGGAACACCGAUGGCGAAGGCAGUGUUCUGGGCCAGUACUGACGCUGAGGAGCGAAAGCGUGGGGAGCAAACA
rnacentral:rRNA from 1 species